GUCGCAAUACUAAAAAACUAGUAGUUUCGAUUUCUACAUUUAGUUCGUAGUUUCUUUUCUAAAAUUAGGCAAAGAGGCAAAAAUUCUUUAGAUAAAAUAGCUUUAGAAUCAAAAUUUUAAACAAAUGUUGAAAAGCCAGCUAAAAAUGUAUGUGCUUAGAGGACCAUCAUUAUAAAUUUUUUCGUUUAAGUGGCAUAACCUUCUACAACAGAGUAAAAGAGAAACAAUUGUCCACAUUUUCGGAAGCCCUUGAACAUAACUGAUACGGCCAACGGCAACUCAAUCUGCUGUUCACUGCCAUCAAAUUCCAGAUCAUGUCUUUGACCCAACACAAUUCUGGCAUGUUGCAGGACCUGUUGAUGCGGAGCCAUGCCAUCGAGGAGAGUUAGCUGUUCCAGAUGAAAUUCGUAGCGUACACUAAGAAAUAUAUUUCGGCAGCUAAGACUUUGUUGAAUUUCAUCAAAGUAUCCCUGCACGGGUGGUAGAUUAUGCAAAUCUUUGCCAUAAUUCAAUUUGAGGGGCAACCAUUUGUCCACCUGAGGUCUACCCAAUUGGGAGAUGAAUAUUUGCUGGACUUUGUCCAAGCUUGAGCAAUUAUGUGGCAAUAAUUUGUGCCAAAUCUCCGACUGAAGAUUUUCACAAUAUUGCGUGUGAUUGGCAUUCUCCUGGAGUUGAGGGGCAUCCAAUUGGGUGAGUUGACAUUGUUGAGCCACAUUGAUGCCGAAACGAAGUGCCUGACUUUCAUCAAGAUUACGUUGGCAAUUACGAGUGCCGACCUGGCGAUGGAACAGUGGCAACCAAUGGUAAUCCUGUUUAACGGCAUUCAAUUCGAAAUAGCUUAGUAUUUGGGGCACAUCGGAGCUAUCGUUUUUGGGCAAAAGUUGAGAGGAUAUUACUGGUUUUCCUGUAAGAUAACCCAAUGGACCUGAGAUGGGUUUGCUGGCAGUCUCAUUAACCGACUUAAAACUGACUUUGUAGUGCAGCCACAAUUCUUCACUUUCCGUUUGCCUGGUUGGGGCUUCUCUUAGUAAAAGUUUAACUCCCAAAAUA